AGAGUUUGAUCCUGGCUCAGGAUGAACGCUGGCGGCGUGCCUAACACAUGCAAGUCGAGCGAGAUACUUAUGAACAGAGAUUCGUCAACGGAAUUAAGUGGAAAGCGGCGGACGGGUGAGUAACGCGUAGGCAACCUGCCCCUUACACAGGGAUAGCCAUUGGAAACGAUGAUUAAAACCUGAUGAUACCGAAAGAUGACAUCUUCCUUCGGUCAAAGAUUUAUCGGUAAGGGAUGGGCCUGCGUCUGAUUAGAUAGUUGGUGAGGUAACGGCCCACCAAGUCAACGAUCAGUAGCCGACCUGAGAGGGUGAUCGGCCACAUUGGAACUGAGACACGGUCCAGACUCCUACGGGAGGCAGCAGUGAGGAAUAUUGGACAAUGGCCGGAAGGCUGAUCCAGCCAUGCCGCGUGAAGGAAUAAGGUCCUAUGGAUUGUAAACUUCUUUUGUACGAGAGCAAUAAGUGUCACGAGUGACACGAUGAGAGUAUCGUACGGAUAAGCAUCGGCUAACUCCGUGCCAGCAGCCGCGGUAAUACGGAGGAUGCGAGCGUUAUCCGGAUUUAUUGGGUUUAAAGGGUGCGUAGGCGGGAUUUUAAGUCAGCGGUGAAACGCAAGGGCUCAACCCUUGACCUGCCGUUGAAACUGGAGUUCUUGAAUGCGGAUGCUGUGGGAGGAAUGUGUGGUGUAGCGGUGAAAUGCAUAGAUAUCACGAAGAACCCCGAUUGCGAAGGCAGCCCACAAGGCCUUUACUGACGCUAAAGCUCGAAGGUGCGGGUAUCGAACAGGAUUAGAUACCCUGGUAGUCCGCACGGUAAACGAUGGAUGCCCACUGUUUGCGAUAUACUGUGAGCGGCCAAGAGAAAUCGUUAAGCAUCCCACCUGGGGAGUACGCCGGCAACGGUGAAACUCAAAGGAAUUGACGGGGGCCCGCACAAGCGGAGGAACAUGUGGUUUAAUUCGAUGAUACGCGAGGAACCUUACCUGGGCUUGAACUGCAGCGGAAGGAUACAGAGAUGUUGACGCCCUUAGGGGCCGCUGUGGAGGUGCUGCAUGGUUGUCGUCAGCUCGUGCCGUGAGGUGUCGGCUUAAGUGCCAUAACGAGCGCAACCCUUUUCAUUAGUUGCCAUCAGGUCAUGCUGGGCACUCUGGUGAUACUGCCACCGUAAGGUGUGAGGAAGGUGGGGAUGACGUCAAAUCAGCACGGCCCUUACGUCCGGGGCUACACACGUGUUACAAUGGGUGGUACAGAGAGUCGGUCGUCUGCAAAUGCGAUCCAAUCCUUAAAGCCAUCCUCAGUUCGGAUUGGGGUCUGCAACCCGACCCCAUGAAGCUGGAUUCGCUAGUAAUCGCGCAUCAGCCAUGGCGCGGUGAAUACAAUCCCGGGCCUUGCACUCACCGCCCGUCA
rnacentral:rRNA from 1 species